rnacentral:lncRNA from 1 species
AAGGGAGGAAGGAAAUAAAAACCAGUAGAUCUGAAAGGGAAGCUACCACCCGAUUGAAGAGAAAACCUGGUUCUUAUAAAUAACUAUUGAUAAACACCAUAGUUUCAUACGGUUGAAACACCAUCAAUUAUUCGUCAAAUGAAAUCAUCGUGUCCUGACAUCUUUAUUAUAGAACCCAUAGUCCGGUUGAAGUAUAAAAUAUAGAUAAUUUUCGUGAUGACUGCGUCAGCCAUUAUGUAUCAGCAUCACUCUAUUACAUUCAUAAAAAAGAUGGAAGGAUGACUCGGUGCAAUCUUCGCAGAAAGAACUGAGCCUCUCGUUUCAUCUUUUUUCGACUUGUUGGUGAAGACUGUUGACGUAGCGAGACAUCAUAUAUCGUAAAUAUAUAAUAAUGAAUUGGUGAAGGGAUUUCUCAUGACCGAUCUCUAACCCACUUUAUCGAUCCCUGUAUCCGUUUUAUUUAGCUUUUGGAAUCGUUUGGAAACUAAAAGGAUUGGGGGUAGGAUACUUUCAUUUUCAAGAGCUCAUUUCGAAUAUAUUGUAUAUUGAGAGCCUCCAACACAAUGUAAAUUUGUGUGUGUGGAUAUCAUCAUGGAAAUGAUACAGUUGGCUGUUAGAAAAUUUAAUGAAGACAGACAUAGGAAUGAGUUUACUUGCAUUAAGGAGACAAUUCCCUCAGGCUUUAUUAGCUCAUUUCUACUUUUGAAGAGGUCAUUAAAAUUUACAGGCUCAUUUUCUCCCAACAGUGGAAGAGCAGACAACAAAAAGGAAUCACAUGAAGACAAUAGCCCUUUCCAGUAAGCCUCAUUCUUAGGUAUGGCUGAAAAAAGCUCUCCUGGAUCCAUGCAAAGAAAUCGAGACACAACCUUAAUCGUCUUAGCCAGAAAUAUUUUAAGGACCUCCACCGUAUUUCGGUGUUUUUUCAUUCCAAAGGAACUGUCUUUUAACAUGGUCAAUGUGUCCUCUAUUUCCAUUUUGGAAAUAUAUUUACAUUCCAAUGGUAACGUUGUCUUAAGAAAUAGAACUCAAAUUUACGGUAAAAUUUUGUAUAUUUUUGAAAUAACUUAAUUAUAUUUUUUUUUUUCAUGCCCUAUUCUUCUAUCGAGGACACAUGGAUUCCUAGCAACUUUUGUUGAGGUCGUACAUAAGAAAUUUGGAUACACUUGCAACAAAUAAUCUUCAGCAGUUGUGGUUAUAUUGUAUUUUUCGACAUUAAUUGAUAGGUUAGAGUCUUUUUUGAAGUCAUUUUGUGCCUCAAGGAGUUCGCGAAUCAACUUUUCCAGAGCCUUAAGAACCAAUGGUUACUUUGCUUGGACCCAUUUCUGCGCUAAUAUGGGAAAUACAAUAAGAAGGAUGACCAUUUUGUGGAUUGCACCCUCUACGAUAUCAUAGUCCAGAAAUUUGUCCUCAUCCGGGAUAGAGUUAUUGGGAUUUCUCACCUCUAAUUGGAAAGCGCCAGGUGUUUCUAGGAGAUGCAAUUAACUUCUCGGUAUCCUGCUCGUUCUCACAUUUAGAAUCAUAAUCUUGAGGGGAGAUGUUCAUUGGAAUAAUCGUGAACCUUUAAAAUAUAAUUAUUUAAUUUGUCCGCGGGGGAGGAGGCUCCCACACUGACCCGAACGUUUCAAACUGUGGGAUGUGUCCUAUAAGUGAGGUAUGAAUCAAAUCUGGACGGAGAGCGUCCGAAUGAACGUUUUUGAUGUAUCUCUAUUAUUAUACUACAAAAAAAAAAAUCAGUACAUUUCUAGGCUUUAAAAUGGUGUGUUUGGCAAUCUUUGGCUUGUAUGUACAGUUUUAGAUUUGUAUAAAAUAUGAGUAAUUAUCCCCAAUAGCGAAACAAUUGCAAACACGACACAGAGUGGUCUUCAUGAUGUCGAAUAUGGUUUUGGUGCGCGGUCUAAUAUCAAAAAUGCAACAUUUUAUUUCUUGGCCGUGAUUAUCACGCUUAUUUAGAUUAUGUCUACAGAGUGGGGACUUAAAACUUGCAAUAGUAUGUUUAAAUUGCGAAAAACGUAAUUUUUAUGGAAUCAAGAAAAAAUAUCGCAAAACUAAUUUGUAAUAUGUUUAAAUAUUAUAUUUAGCUUCUUUUUUCUUCAAUAUCUUACAAGGAAUAACAGUCUCCACAACAGAAGAGAUAUACUUCUCUUAAUAAUGAAGGCCAUGUUCAUAGUGUAGAAAUUUGGAUGAGAGGUACAGCAGACAUUUUUCUUCAAAAUGUCCCAAACUGCAUCCAAGGGUUUGAUGUCAGUGUUGAAGGAGGGCCGCAUGGAAACUGACCAGAAUUCUACCAUAUUGGUGUUGCAUAAGUUAUUUGUCUGUAUGGGGCUAUAUUUAACUUAUGAUGUUGUAAGCAGUCCGAAUGGAGAUGCCAACAGUCUCUCCAUUCUUCUCGGCGCAGAAGAGAUCCCACACGCAUUACCUUUUUUCUGACGUAACUCUUUAGAUAUUACUACUAGAGACAUCGGAUAAAAAGAAAAAUUGUUUAUCUUUUUGUUUGAGCUGUCGUUUGGUUACGUAAUGAAACUUCACAAUGAAAAAUAACAGGGAUAAAAUUGUAAUUAUAUGCUACUAAAAUUUUUGUGUCCCAAAUCAAAUAAAAGCAAAGAGAUUAAGCUUAAAUUCUAUUGAAAAUGGUCUAUAGACAAUAAAAUCACUCUACAAAAAGAUA